AACGCACCUUGCGCCUCUUGGUAUUCCGAGAGGCAUGCCUGUUUGAGUGUCAUGAAAACCUCAAUCCACCUUGGUUUCGUUACCUCGGUCGGACUUGGAUUUGGGUGUCUGCCGUUUGGCUCACCUUAAAGGCGUUAGUGGGAUGAGCCUCUGGCUCGGGACGUAAUAAGUUUCGUUCUGACCUCUGGCCCACGCCCGCUCACAACCCCCCAUACAUUUCAUCUCUGACCUCAAAUCAGGUAGGGCUACCCGCUGAACUUAA
rnacentral:misc_RNA from 2 species